rnacentral:rRNA from 1 species
UAGUCCACGCCGUAAACGAUGAGAACUAGAUAUUGGGGGUAUUGAUCCCUUCAGUGUCGCAGCUAACGCAUUAAGUUCUCCGCCUGGGGAGUACGGUCGCAAGACUAAAACUCAAAGGAAUUGACGGGGGCCCGCGACCAAGCAGUGGAUUAUGUGGUUUAAUUCGAAGCAACGCGAAGAACCUUACCUAGGUUUGAAAUCCGGAGAACCUGCCCGAAAAGGCGGGGUGCCUUUCGAGGAAUUCCGUGACAGGCGCUGCAUGGCUGUCGUCAGCUCGUGUCGUGAGAUGUUGGGUUAAGUCUCGCAACGAGCGCAACCCCUACUUUUAGUUGCCAGCAUUAAGUUGGGCACUCUAGAGGGACUGCCUGGGCUAACCAGGAGGAAGGUGGGGAUGACGUCAAGUCCUCAUGGGCCCUUAUACCUAGGGGCUACACACGUAAUACAAUGGUCGGUACAAAGGGGACG